rnacentral:rRNA from 1 species
AGAAUCAACGCUGGCGGCGUGCCUAACACAUGCAAGUCGAACGAGAAAGUGGAGCAAUCCAUGAGUACAGUGGCGCACGGGUGAGUAACACGUGACUAACCUACCCUUGAGUGGGGAAUAACCUGGAGAAAUCUAGGCUAAUACCGCAUAACACCUACGGGUCAAAGGAGCAAUUCGCUUAAGGAGGGGGUCGCGGCAGAUUAGCUAGUUGGCGGGGUAAUGGCCCACCAAGGCAGUGAUCUGUA